rnacentral:tRNA from 1 species
GGAGAGAUGUCCGAGUUUGGCCGAAGGAACACGACUGGAAAUCGUGUAGGGGGCCCAAAGCUUCCUCCUGGGUUCGAAUCCCAGUCUCUCCGCCA